rnacentral:lncRNA from 1 species
AUGCAUUUGCUAACAAGCAGGGGAUUAGAAAAGCUCUGGAAAACACAAGCACGUCUAGCAAAAUAUCCUGGUGAUCUUAUGUGUUCCAUCACAGUGGAUGUGAACAUGCUGGUUGUGAAAUCCCUGAUCGGGAGCUCCAAACAAAGGAUGAAUGGUGUGCUUGGAUCUCUUUUCUUUGAAUUUACACAAAGUAUCACAAGUAAUGACUUCAUCUUUCCUGGAAGAAGCCAACAAGCCUCUGGCAACCUGUGGUCUGUGCAGAAAGAUCCUUACUCUGGGUUAUAUGAAAGUAAAUCAGGAGUUUCAUAACUGCAGGAUCCAGACAAGAGAAAUUGAAAGCAGUCUUGAACUUACCAAGAUACAAAGCAAAAAUAAAAUCUUAUCCUGACUGUAGCCA